GUCCAAGCUGUGUUCACACSGCGAGACCGCGGACGGCUCAUUAAAUCAGUCGUGGUCCAAAUGGGCCAGUGCAAAUCCUACUUGGAUAACUGUGGUAAUUCCAGAGCUAAUACAUGCAACUGAUAUCCCGAAGGCGAUGGUUGUGCUUGCUUGUCUUGCGCUCUCACUGCUCUGACGGAUGCUUUUAUUAGACCAAACUGCUGAGGACUUGAGGGUUCGCCUUCUUGUCUGACUCGUGUAAUGGUGACUCUGGAUAACCAAUCUGACAAGCGCACGUACUUCUCUUCUGAGCGAGACGGCGCUGCCACUUUCGAGUGUCUGCCUUAUCAGCUAUCAACCGUUCGUUAUGCGCGACCGAUGGCUUUGACGGGUAACGGGGAAUCAGGGUUCGAUUCCGGAGAGGCAGCCUGAGAGACGGCUACCACGUCCAAGGACGGCAGCAGGCACGCAAAUUACCCAAUCCCAGCAAAUGGGGGAGGUAGUGACGAAAUCUAACGAUGCGGGCGCCCUUUCUGGGGCCCCGCAAUCGGAAUGGGCACUUUCUAAACAACCUGUUGAGAACCUACUGAAGGGCAAGUCUGGUGCCAGCAGCCGCGGUAAUUCCAGCUUCAGCAGCAUCUAUUAAAGUUGCUGCGG
rnacentral:rRNA from 1 species